rnacentral:rRNA from 1 species
UACGUAGGGUGCGAGCGUUGUCCGGAAUUAUUGGGCGUAAAGAGCUCGUAGGCGGUCUGUCACGUCGGAUGUGAAAACUCGGGGCUCAACCCCGAGCCUGCAUUCGAUACGGGCAGACUAGAGUUCGGUAGGGGAGACUGGAAUCCUGGUGUAGCGGUGAAAUGCGCAGAUAUCAGGAGGAACACCGGUGGCGAAGGCGGGUCUCUGGGCAGUAACUGACGCUGAGGAGCGAAAGCGUGGGGAGCGAACAGG